rnacentral:rRNA from 1 species
CGUAAAGAAUCUGCCCUAAGGUGGGGAAUAACUAUCCCAACGGAUAGCUAAUACCGCAUAAGGAUGGGAGUGGCAUCACUCCUUCUCGAAAGAUUGAUCGCCUUAGGAUGACUUUGCGUCCCAUUAGCUUGUUGGCGGUGUAACGGACCCCCAAGGCGACGAUGGGUAUCCGGCCUGAGAGGGUGUACGGACACAUUGGGACUGAGAUACGGCCCAGACUCCUACGGGAGGCAGCAGUAGGGAAUUUUGCGCAAUGGAGGAAACUCUGACGCAGCAACGCCAUGUGUGGGAUGAAGCAUUUCGGUGUGUAAACCACUGUCAGCAGGGAAUAAAGGGCCGCUUCGGCGGCAGUUGAAUGUACCUGCAAAGGAAGCCCCGGCUAACUUCGUGCCAGCAGCCGCGGUAAUACGAGGGGGGCAAAUGUUGUUCGGAAUCACUGGGCGUAAAGGGAGCGUAGGCGGGCUCUUAAGUUAGGUGUUUAAUCCCGGGGCCCAACCCCGGACAGGCACCUAAAACUGGGAGUCUUGAAUAGUGGAGAGGACGGCGGAAUUGGGGGUGUAGCGGUGGAAUGCGUAGAGAUCCCCAAGAACACCAGUUGCGAAGGCGGCCGUCUGGACACAUAUUGACGCUGAGGCUCGAAAGCAUGGGGAGCAAACAGGAUUAGAUACCCUGGUAGUCCAUGCCAUAAACGAUGAUACUACGUUUUGGGCCCGUCAACGGUCCAGAGCCGCAGCUAACGCGUUAAGUAUUCCGCCUGGGGGAGUACGCUCGCAAGAGUGAACUUCAAAGGAAUUGACGGGGGCCCGCACAAGCGGUGGAGCAUGUGGUUUAAUUCGACGCAACGCGCAGAACCUUACCAAGGCUUGACAUGGGGAAGACCGGACGAGAGAUCGUCCUUCUCUGCAAUAGAGCUUCCCACACAGGUGCUGCAUGGCUGUCGUCAGCUCGUGUCGUGAGAUGUUGGGUUAAGUCCCGCAACGAGCGCAACCCUCGUUUCUAGUUGCCAUCAUUUAGUUGGGCCCUCUAGAGAGACUGCCGCGAAUAACGCGGAGGAAGGUGGGGACGACGUCAAGUCAUCAUGGCCCUUACGUCUUGGGCUACACACGUGCUACAAUGGGCGUUACAAAGGGUUGCAAGAGCGCAAGCUGGAGCCAAUCC